GAUGAACGCUGGCGGCGUGCCUAAUACAUGCAAGUAGAACGCUGAAGCUUGGUGCUUGCACCAAGCGGAUGAGUUGCGAACGGGUGAGUAACGCGUAGGUAACCUGCCUCUUAGCGGGGGAUAACUAUUGGAAACGAUAGCUAAUACCGCAUAAAAGUCGACAUCGCAUGAUGUUGACUUGAAAGGUGCAAAUGCAUCACUAAGAGAUGGACCUGCGUUGUAUUAGCUAGUUGGUGAGGUAACGGCUCACCAAGGCGACGAUACAUAGCCGACCUGAGAGGGUGAUCGGCCACACUGGGACUGAGACACGGCCCAGACUCCUACGGGAGGCAGCAGUAGGGAAUCUUCGGCAAUGGGGGCAACCCUGACCGAGCGACGCCGCGUGAGUGAAGAAGGUUUUCGGAUCGUAAAGCUCUGUUGUAAGAGAAGAACGAGUGUGAGAGUGGAAAGUUCACACUGUGACGGUAACUUACCAGAAAGGGACGGCUAACUACGUGCCAGCAGCCGCGGUAAUACGUAGGUCCCGAGCGUUAUCCGGAUUUAUUGGGCGUAAAGCGAGCGCAGGCGGUUAGAUAAGUCUGAAGUUAAAGGCUGUGGCUUAACCAUAGUACGCUUUGGAAACUGUUUAACUUGAGUGCAGAAGGGGAGAGUGGAAUUCCAUGUGUAGCGGUGAAAUGCGUAGAUAUAUGGAGGAACACCGGUGGCGAAAGCGGCUCUCUGGUCUGUAACUGACGCUGAGGCUCGAAAGCGUGGGGAGCAAACAGG
rnacentral:rRNA from 1 species